AAACAAUGAAUAGGAAGAUUUUAUUUUUGAGAUGUACAUGAUGGUAGAAGCCAGCAAGUUUCUAAAACAAUGGACUUGUUGUAGGAACAAUUUAGACCAGGAUAAUCUGAAAACAAGCUACAUUGCAAAGAAUGAUAAAGGGCAUCCAAUGAUGCAAAUUCCUAGAGGGCCAGAGUUCCAGAGUGAGUGUGGACAUAAGCAAACCAAACAAACCCUGAGAGAAUAAUUGAGAGAUGGAAGAUGAUAAACAAAUUAAAAAUGCUGAAAGACAAAGACAGAUGAUGAUUUGUGAAAUACAUAAAUUCUAUGCAAGAUUUCACAUGGAUUAGGACAGAAGAGCUCGAGUGUGACUAUAAGAAGAAAAAAUCUACAGAGGAUAUAGUGCUGAAAAACAUUGGAAUUCCAGCUAUCCACAAUGAGAAGAAGUUGUUGAACAUCCAGUCCACAGCCUGGAAAGGAUAUACUUUAGGAGGAGGAUGCCACUGGGCCACAACCAAAUAAAGCCUUAAGCCAUUCCUCAAACAGGAUCAAGCUGAUCCUCCAUUAAAUUAUUUGUUCAUUAGUGCAAAGUGCAAUGUUCUGUAUGGGAAGACAAGAAAAUUCACAUUCCUAACAGAGUACCAUCCACAAACUCCCUAGAGACUACAAAAACUAUUAGACGUGUGAAGACACAUGGAAGUAUGACAUGUAUUGUGAGAAAUAACAAAAGAAAAAAUUCAGAGAUGGCACAGAUGUGGGAGUUAGCAAAUGACAUUUUUGAAGAGCUAUUACAAAUAGAUGAAAUCACAGCAGUGUACAUUUUGAGGUCAUAAGGAAGUCAUCAAGAAGUCAUAGUAAUCCUCUUUCAUUUACCCUUAUUUGUAGAGUUUCAAGCCACAUGAAGAAAAAUCUGACAGACUCAAAAAAAGUAUUGACAUUCUAUAAUUUAUAAUCAGAUAUUUUAAUAUCCCCUCCCAGUAACUGAU
rnacentral:lncRNA from 1 species